UACGAAGGGGGCUAGCGUUGUUCGGAAUCACUGGGCGUAAAGGGCGCGUAGGCGGCUUGAUAAGUCGGGGGUGAAAGCCUGUGGCUCAACCACAGAAUUGCCUUCGAUACUGUCGAGCUUGAGACCGGAAGAGGUAAGUGGAACUGCGAGUGUAGAGGUGAAAUUCGUAGAUAUUCGCAAGAACACCAGUGGCGAAGGCGACACUCUGGGCCGGUACUGACGCUGAGACGCGAAAGCGUGGGGAGCGAACAGG
rnacentral:rRNA from 1 species